GAUAUAUAGCUGGGAAAGCAUAUAUAUCAUUUGGUGUCCAUGCACUAAUUCUCUAAAACUUGAAUGAGAGAAAAUAGCUUAGAAAACAACAAAGUUGCCUAAACAUUAUGGGUUUCAUGUGUCUCAAGAAGUUCACUAUCCUUAUUCUCCUGAUUUCUGCAUCAUCACUUUUAUCGGCCUCAUCUGCAGCAGGUAGACAAUCCAAGUUUGUCAAUAAGUUGGCUAAAGAAGCAGUGGAUGCAAAUCCAGAGGAAGUACUAGGGAAGCCAUUGAGCCACAAGGAAGCUGCCAGAAUCCAUGAAAGGCUUCUCAGGGUUAACACAAAAGAUUACGGACGAUACGAUCCAGCACCUGCUCUUGUUAAGCCUCCUUUCAAGCUCAUCCCAAACUGAUCAUGAUUUACAUAUCAAAGUUGGAAGUUGGAGUAGUAGUGUCUUAUCAUUAAAUAAAACGAACUAGCUUAUGGUACUUGCUAUAAAGUACUCUUGAAGGAAUCUCCUGCUAAUGUAAGUAUAUGACAUAUAUAGACAAUAUAAAUACUAAGUUUUGAGGUGUAAUAUCAACGAGUCGUUUUCUUAUGACGAACUUUGUCAGUCGUUUAUUGAAAGAUGUCAAACUUGCCAAAUUGUUAUGGUAAUUAUCUAAGUAAACUCACAUUUUCUUGCUAAUAAAGCUCAGCCGAGAAAGCAAAUAUCGACAUAAAAGGACCCGAGGCUCAGGUUCUAUAGUCUGCAAGGUCGGGCGCAGACCCUUCGAAAUAGAAAUCAGCUUCUUACACCCUUUGGAAGACUCAUGGCAUAUACAAGGGUAAAAGUUGUCACCUCAGUUGGUUUAAGUGACCCUAUAUAUUGCCAUUCAAUUAAUUCCAGUACAUGAGCAAAAAGGGUUCUUUGUAUAUUUAGUUGUUGGAUACCUGCUCUGCUUUUUUGAGAAGAGAGCACAACCACCUUGCAAUUGUUGUCUACUCUAAAAUGAUUCCUAUGUAAAGCUAGAGGUGUUUACGUUGAUUCAAACAAAAGGUACCCAACCUUUCUUGGGGUGUGAAUUUGAAGGAGCUUGGGAGAGUUCUAGCUUGUGAAAAUUCAAGUC